CGGCCGCGUCGACCUGAGAGGGUGAUCGGCCACACUGGGACUGAGACACGGCCCAGACUCCUACGGGAGGCAGCAGUAGGGAAUCUUCCGCAAUGGACGCAAGUCUGACGGAGCAACGCCGCGUGAGUGACGAAGGUUUUCGGAUCGUAAAACUCUGUUGUGAGGGAAGAACACGUACCAGGUAACUACUGGUACCUUGACGGUACCUCACCAGAAAGCCACGGCUAACUACGUGCCGUCGACGCGGCCG
rnacentral:rRNA from 1 species